UCAUAGUGAUCCGGUGGUUCUGUAUGGAAGGGCCAUCGCUCAACGGAUAAAAGGUACUCUGGGGAUAACAGGCUGAUACCGCCCAAGAGUUCAUAUCGACGGCGGUGUUUGGCACCUCGAUGUCGGCUCAUCUCAUCCUGGGGCUGUAGCCGGUCCCAAGGGUAUGGCUGUUCGCCAUUUAAAGAGGUACGUGAGCUGGGUUUAAAACGUCGUGAGACAGUUUGGUCCCUAUCUGCCGUGGGCGUUGGAUAUUUGAAGGGGGCUGCUCCUAGUACGAGAGGACCGGAGUGGACGAACCUCUGGUGUACCGGUUGUCACGCCAGUGGCAUCGCCGGGUAGCUAUGUUCGGAAGAGAUAACCGCUGAAAGCAUCUAAGCGGGAAACUCGCCUUAAGAUGAGAUAUCCCUGGGGACUAGAUCCCCUUGAAGGGUCGUUCGAGACCAGGACGUUGAUAGGUCAGGUGUGUAAGCGCAGUAAUGCGUUCAGCUAACUGAUACUAAUUGCCCGUAAGGCUUGAUCCUAUAACA
rnacentral:rRNA from 1 species